rnacentral:rRNA from 1 species
CCUACGGGUGGCAGCAGUAGGGAAUAUUGCUCAAUGGGGGAAACCCUGAAGCAGCAACGCCGCGUGGAGGAUGAAGGUUUUCGGAUUGUAAACUCCUUUUGUUAGAGAAGAUAAUGACGGUAUCUAACGAAUAAGCACCGGCUAACUCCGUGCCAGCAGCCGCGGUAAUACGGAGGAUGCAAGCGUUACUCGGAAUCACUGGGCGUAAAGAGCGCGUAGGCGGGUUAGCAAGUCAGAUGUGAAAUCCUAUGGCUUAACCAUAGAACUGCAUUUGAAACUGUUAUUCUAGAGUAUGGUAGAGGUAGGUGGAAUUCGUGGUGUAGGGGUAAAAUCCGUAGAGAUCAAGAGGAAUACUCAUUGCGAAGGCGACCUACUAGAACAUAACUGACGCUGAUGCGCGAAAGCGUGGGUAGCAAACAGGAUUAGAUACCCGAGUAGUC